rnacentral:rRNA from 1 species
UACGUAGGUGGCGAGCGUUGUCCGGAAUCAUUGGGCGUAAAGGGAGCGCAGGCGGGCAAGUAAGUCUUUCUUAAAAGUGCGGGGCUCAACCCCGUGAUGGGAAAGAAACUACAUGUCUUGAGUACAGGAGAGGAAAGCGGAAUUCCCAGUGUAGCGGUGAAAUGCGUAGAUAUUGGGAGGAACACCAGUGGCGAAGGCGGCUUUCUGGACUGCAACUGACGCUGAGGCUCGAAAGCCAGGGGAGCGAACGGG